rnacentral:rRNA from 1 species
UACGGAGGGUGCAAGCGUUAAUCGGAAUUACUGGGCGUAAAGCGUGCGCAGGCGGUUUGUUAAGUCCGUUGUGAAAGCCCCGAGCUCAACUUGGGAAUUGCAGUGGAUACUGGCAGGCUGGAGUACGGUAGAGGAAGGUGGAAUUCCCGGUGUAGCAGUGAAAUGCGUAGAUAUCGGGAGGAACACCAGUGGCGAAGGCGGCCUUCUGGACCAGUACUGACGCUCAUGCACGAAAGCGUGGGGAUCAAACAGG